rnacentral:rRNA from 1 species
AAUCAACGCUGGCGGCGUGCCUCAGACAUGCAAGUCGAACGAUUAAAGCUCUCUUCGGAGAGUGCAUAGAGUGGCGCACGGGUGAGUAACACGUAAGUAAUCUACCUUCGAGUGGGGAAUAACGUCCGGAAACGGACGCUAAUACCGCAUAAUGCAGCGGCAUCGCAAGAUGACAGUCGUUAAAGGAGCAAUUCGCUUGAAGAGGAGCUUGCGGCAGAUUAGCUAGUUGGUAAGGUAAUGGCUUACCAAGGCUACGAUCUGUAACCGGUCUAAGAGGGACGGUCGGUCACACUGACACUGAAUAACGGGUCAGACUCCUACGGGAGGCAGC